GGGCCCGCACAAGCGGUGGAGUAUGUGGUUUAAUUCGAUGAUACGCGAGGAACCUUACCAGUCCUUGACAUGGGUAGUUUGGUUUCCGGAGACGGAUUCCUUCAGUUCGGCUGGCUACCACACAGGUGCUGCAUGGCUGUCGUCAGCUCGUGUCGUGAGAUGUUGGGUUAAGUCCCGCAACGAGCGCAACCCUCAUCUUUAGUUGCCAGCGGUUAGGCCGGGCACUCUAGAGAAACUGCCUGCGAUGAGCAGGAGGAAGGCGGGGAUGACGUCAAGUCCUCAUGGCCCUUAUGGACUGGGCUACACACGUGCUACAAUGGCGGUGACAACGGGCAGCGAAGGGGUGACCUGGAGCAAAUCCCAAAAACCUUAUCUCAGUUCGGAUUGGAGUCUGCAACUCGACUCCAUG
rnacentral:rRNA from 1 species